rnacentral:tRNA from 1 species
GGGGCCGUAGUCUAGCCUGGACUAGGAACCUCUGGCUGGAAUGCCAGGCUUGGGCCCUGGUGAUCGCGGGUUCAAAUCCCGCCGGCCCCA